rnacentral:lncRNA from 1 species
UACAUAUAUAUCUUUCCAUAUGCAUAGGCAGAUGAUAAGCAACAACUAAGGAGAACAAGUUGAAAAUAUUUUUUUAUAAGAUCAAUGAAAACAUGUUUUAUGUUCACAUUGAAACGUUUAAGGCCUGGGGUAAGACAGCUUUUAAGGUCAAAUACAUCUCAUCAAGAGUAAUUUGUGGUGUUUAAAUGCCUUUAAUUUCUGAUUUAGCAUUCAUAUAAUUUGAAGUCUCAAACAGGUUGCUUUCUAAAAGUAUGGAUGUCAAUGGUUUUGAAAUUUAGAUCACAUCCCCUCAUUGAACACUAUUUUAAAAAUUGUUAUCUUUCAUGCUACUCCACAAAAAUGCAUUUGGCCUUGUAUAGCAGAAAACUAUUCACUUAUAAUGAAAAUAUUUAAAAACAGUGGAAAUAAUAGAAAACAAUUACACUGUACAAGUAUAUGAAAUACUUUAUCUGCAUACAUUUCUGGGAACAGGCCACUGGGCAAUUCAGCUAGGUCCACCUUGGCUCUGAGACAUAUCCCCGCUAAGCUGUAAAGGAUUGAUUUUAGAUCAGCCUUUGUGCUGAAAGCAGAAAAAAAG